UACGGAGGGUGCAAGCGUUGUCCGGAUUUAUUGGGUUUAAAGGGUGCGUAGGCGGCCCUCUAAGUCAGUGGUGAAAUACUGCAGCUUAACUGUAGCAUUGCCAUUGAUACUGGAGGGCUUGAGUACAGAUGAGGUAGGCGGAAUUUUAUGGUGUAGCGGUGAAAUGCAUAGAUACCAUAAAGAACACCUAUUGCGAAGGCAGCUUACUAAGCUGUAACUGAC
rnacentral:rRNA from 1 species